UACGUAGGGUGCAAGCGUUAAUCGGAAUUACUGGGCGUAAAGCGUGCGCAGGCGGUGAUGUAAGACAGAUGUGAAAUCCCCGGGCUCAACCUGGGAACUGCAUUUGUGACUGCAUCGCUGGAGUGCGGCAGAGGGGGAUGGAAUUCCGCGUGUAGCAGUGAAAUGCGUAGAUAUGCGGAGGAACACCGAUGGCGAAGGCAAUCCCCUGGGCCUGCACUGACGCUGAGGCACGAAAGCAUGGGGAUCAAACAGG
rnacentral:rRNA from 1 species